GGCAGCCAUUCAUGAUGUAAUGGUCAUGGUGACAGACAGCUCAUACUGAGUGUCCUCUUCUCUUGGGAGAUCAACAUGUCUGAUGUUUCCUGCUUCAUCUGCCCUCCAGUUUGUACAUAUUCUUCUACCUAGGAAUCAGAAAGUGUAUUUUGCAGCCAUGGAAUCUGUAUUGGGGAAGGAUCCCAUAAGUGGACCAAAGGAAGAGGAAAAUAUUCCAUUAUGCUAUCAUUGACUCCUCCCUUCUCUGCAUAGAACUCAUCAUGGGCUUCUCCAGGCUUGGCUGUCUGGUUCAUAUAAAUAGACAUUAUCAGUCUCUCUACA